rnacentral:lncRNA from 1 species
GAUGGACCUCUUAGGACAACAUACCAGCAGAAUGUAUCAUCCUCCCUUGAGUAAAACACUUGUUUUGCCUGAGAAGCUAAUUUGUAUGGAUCCCUAUUAAAGAAAACUUGUGACUGAUUCAAGUUAACAAGUGUGUACCCAUCUUCCACCUUAACUCCGUUUCCUCGUACUGCCCAUUGACACCUGAAUAGAGGGACGUAAAAGACAUUAUAGUCCAACAAGAUAAUCUCUGUAACUUUCCCAUAGUAUGAUACCAAAUCGACGACUUGUGAAGUGUCUUUUGCACUCGCUCUACACAUUGCAGUAGCCUCAUAAAAUACUCCACUGUUUUGGCUCAGCCUCUGAACUGAGUGUGUGUGAAAGCGCUGUCCGUUCACUAUGUAGCCUGUAUAUGACCUUGCAGUACUACAUGGACCAUAUGCCAACCAUUUUAGAGUCUCUCCAUGUGUUUCAGAAUCCACUUUUUUCUAGCAAAAAGUAUAAGCAAUUGUUACAAUAGAAGAACAAUUAAUUCAGAAACGCAACAACUGUUAUAAACUUGCCUGCUCUUUUAACCAAG